AACGAACGCUGGCGGCAUGCCUAACACAUGCAAGUCGAACGAGACCUUCGGGUCUAGUGGCUCACGGGUGCGUAACGCGUGGGAACCUGCCCUUAGGUUCGGAAUAACUCCCCGAAAGGGGUGCGAAUACCGGAUAAUGUCUUCGGACCAAAGAUUUAUCGCCUUUGGAUGGGCCCGCGUUGGAUUAGCUAGUUGGUAGGGUAAAAGCCUACCAAGGCGACGAUCCAUAGCUGGUCUGAGAGGAUGAUCAGCCACACUGGGACUGAGACACGGCCCAGACUCCUACGGGAGGCAGCAGUGGGGAAUAUUGGACAAUGGGCGAAAGCCUGAUCCAGCAAUGCCGCGUGAGUGAUGAAGGCCUUAGGGUUGUAAAGCUCUUUUACCCGGGAUGAUAAUGACAGUACCGGGAGAAUAAGCUCCGGCUAACUCCGUG
rnacentral:rRNA from 1 species